GCCCAGGUGGCGGAAUUGGUAGACGCGCAUGGUUCAGGUCCAUGUGCCAGUAAUGGUGUGGAAGUUCGAGUCUUCUCCUGGGCACCA
rnacentral:tRNA from 1 species